AACGCACCUUGCGCUCUCUGGUAUUCCGGAGAGCAUGUCUGUUUGAGUGUCAUGAACACUUCAACCUGCCGAAGUUUUUUCAUGGAAAGCCUCUACUGAGGCGCUUCGUGGGAAAGCUUUGCUUGCAGUGUUUGGAUCUUGAGCGUAUGCUGGCUUGUCAAAAGUCUAGCUCGUUCGUAAUCUAUUAGUGGGCCGAGUUCUAAGUGACUCCCUUUCAAGUUUUCUUGAAUUUCUUUGCCGAAGUUCUUGAGAAUGGGGAGGUAACCCUUGAUGUAAUAACUAUUUCAUUGAGCGGGCUACUGGAACUUGAAGUUCGCUUCUAACUCCCAAAUUAAUCUUUGAUUAAGACCUCAAAUCAGGCAGGAUUACCCGCUGAACUUAA
rnacentral:rRNA from 1 species